rnacentral:RNase_P_RNA from 1 species
UCGUUGUGCCGGACAAUCGCGCUUGUCGAAAGGCAGGUGAGGAAAGUCCGAACACAGGCUUAUGAAAAUAAGCAGCAGGGUAGCGGGUAACCCCCGUCCAUAGCAACCUGCCUGCCGGUAGGCUGGUAUGCGAGGUGCGAGCAGUGACGUCUAAUCCGAAAGGAGAGGAAUUCCCUCGGGAAUAAUCCAAUGGAGACAUUGGGGUGAAACGGCUAAAUCCUUACUUCUGUGCAAGACCGUGCCCUAGCUUACUAGGGAGAGUCGCUUGAGGGUAUUGGCAACAAUACUCCUAGAUAAAUGAUUGUCAUUCCGACCUUGUGUUGGAAUACAGAAUUCGGCUUAUAGGUACAACAAAAAA